rnacentral:rRNA from 1 species
CUACGGGACGCUGCAGUGGGGAAUCUUAGACAAUGGGCGCAAGCCUGAUCUAGCCAUGCCGCGUGAGUGAUGAAGGCCUUAGGGUCGUAAAGCUCUUUCGCCUGUGAUGAUAAUGACAGUAGCAGGUAAAGAAACCCCGGCUAACUCCGUGCCAGCAGCCGCGGUAAUACGGAGGGGGUUAGCGUUGUUCGGAAUUACUGGGCGUAAAGCGCACGUAGGCGGAUUAGAAAGUUGGGGGUGAAAUCCCGGGGCUCAACCUCGGAACUGCCUCCAAAACUCCUAGUCUAGAGUUCGAGAGAGGUGAGUGGAAUUCCAAGUGUAGAGGUGAAAUUUGUAGAUAUUUGGAGGAACACCAGUGGCGAAGGCGGCUCACUGGCUCGAUACUGACGCUGAGGUGCGAAAGUGUGGGGAGCAAACAGGAUUAGAUACCCCGGUAGUC